UGGGGGAUAUUGCACAAUGGGCGAAAGCCUGAUGCAGCGACGCCGCGUGGGGGAUGAAGGCCUUCGGGUUGUAAACUUCUUUUGCUCUGAACAAGGCAUGCUAAUGGGUGUGUUGAGUGUAGGGGUUGAUUAGCGCCGGCUAACUACGUGCCAGCAGCCGCGGUAAUACGUAGGGCGCGAGCGUUGUCCGGAAUUAUUGGGCGUAAAGGGCUUGUAGGUGGCUGGUUGCGUCUGUCGUGAAAGCUCAUGGCUUAACUGUGGGUUUGCGGUGGGUACGAGCGGGCUUGAGUGCAGUAGGGGAGGCUGGAAUUCCUGGUGUAGCGGUGGAAUGCGCAGAUAUCAGGAGGAAUACCGGUGGCGAAGGCGGGUCUCUGGGCUGUUACUGACACUGAGGAGCGAAAGCAUGGGGAGCGAACAGG
rnacentral:rRNA from 1 species